AAGUCCAUCACGUGAACUUCAGAUCAUUUCUGCCAAUUAUUGCAAACUAUUUAUUCAAAGAUAACAUAAGCAAAAAGCAUAAUAAACUACAACACAAAUCAGGAAAUAAAUUGGACUAAGAAUCAUGCUUCAGUUCUUCAAAUUGAUUCAUUCCUCAAGUUUGAUUCAUUCCUCAAGUUUACUUCACAAUUGACAGGGUUACAAGGUAUGUACCUGGAAAUUAAGGACAAGUAAGAAGAGGAAAUGAUCAGCAACAACAAAUAGCAGGCAGCAUUAGCUUAAAGCUAGUUUUGAACCCAUAAAUGAUAUCAAGCAGCCCACGACUUAGUUUCAGGUGAACAAACACCAGCAAGCAAACCAAACUAGCUUGAUUAAACCAAAUUAAAACUCAAAAAUCAACUCAUGAACUCCUAAAGCCUCAACUACUGAUUCACCAGGACGGUUCAAACCAUUUUUUCAACUUUGUAUAAGCUAGAAAUUUAAUUUAGAACUUAGAGCUUUAAGAUACCCUAAAAACCUCAAUGAAAUAGUGAUAUUUUGAAUUUUUUGUCGCCUGAAACUUUUAGAGCUUCUUUUAGUGUUUUUAAUGCUGGGAAUCCCUCUCAUAACUUUAGAC
rnacentral:lncRNA from 1 species